GGACUACAGGGGUAUCUAAUCCUGUUUGCUCCCCUAGCUUUCGCAGAUCAGCGUCAGUGAUGGUCCAGUAGCCUGCUUUCGCCAUAGGUAUUCCUCCCGAUAUCUACGCAUUUCACCGCUACACCGGGAAUUCUAGCUACCUCUACCACACUCCAGCCUGGUAGUUUCCGUUGACCUCUCCCAGUUAAGCCGGGAGCUUUCACAACAGACUUUCCAAACCGCCUACCUGCGCUUUACGCCUAGUGAUUCCGAGUAACGCUUGCCACCUACGUAUUACCGCGGCUGCUGGCAC
rnacentral:rRNA from 1 species